CUCUCAGGCCUUGCACCCCAGCCGCGUGCCUCCCUCCCGCUGAAAGCGCAGGCCAAUCGCGUCUCGACCACUCGAGACCCACAGCCAAUGGGACUCCUGGAUCUGCUGAGGCCUGGAGUGCGCGAGCAAGGGGCUCAAUGGGAAAACAGGGACAGAGAGGAAUUUGAACUCAGGAGGUCUGGCUUCAUGAAACUGACCCCUAGAGUGGCGCCAUCCGAUAGAAGUUUCUGCGAUGAUGGAUAUGUUCUUUAUCUGCUCUGCCUGAUACACUAACCACCCAUGUGGCUACUGGUUGGAUAAGCUCAGCUGGGGAGAACUAAGUUUGAGUGCCAGCUACCUGCUGUGUGACGGUUGCUAAGUCUCUCACCUCUGUUAGUUCCUUUAUGGAAGAAGUGAUUAAAAAGAUUCCAACCAAAGCA